rnacentral:rRNA from 1 species
GAUGAACGCUAGCUACAGGCUUAACACAUGCAAGUCGAGGGGAAACGGCAUUAAGUGCUUGCACUUUUUGGACGUCGACCGGCGCACGGGUGAGUAACGCGUAUCCAACCUUCCCAUGACUAAGGGAUAACCUGCCGAAAGGCAGACUAAUACCUUAUGGUCUUCACUGACGGCAUCAGAUGUGAAGUAAAGAUUUAUCGGUUAUGGAUGGGGAUGCGUCUGAUUAGCUUGUUGGCGGGGUAACGGCCCACCAAGGCAACGAUCAGUAGGGGUUCUGAGAGGAAGGUACCCGACAUGGGAACUGAGACACGGUCCAAACUCCUACGGGAGGCAGCAGUGAGGAAUAUUGGUCAAUGGGCGAGAGCCUGAACCAGCCAAGUAGCGUGCAGGAUGACGGCCCUAUGGGUUGUAAACUGCUUUUGGAUGGGGAUAAAGUCAAUCACGUGUGAUUGUUUGCAGGUACCAUACGAAUAAGGACCGGCUAAUUCCGUG